rnacentral:rRNA from 1 species
GUAGUCCUAGCUGUAAAGCAUGCGGGCCAGGUGUCUGGUGUUCCUUGAGAGCACCAAGUGCCGGAGGGAAGCCGUUAAGCCCGCCGCCUGGGAAGUACGGUCGCAAGGCUGAAACUUAAAGAAAUUGGCGGGGGAGCACUACAAGGGGUGAGACCUGCGGUUCAAUUGGAUUCAACGCCGAAAAACUCACCAGGGGCGACAGUUGAUUGAAGGCCAGGUUGACGACCUUGCCGGACUAGCUGAGGGGUGGUGCAUGGCCGUCGUCAGCUCGUACCGUGAGGCGUCCUGUCAAGUCAGGUAACGAGCGAGACCCUCGCCCUUAGUUGCCAUCGAUGGGAAGUCGGGCACUCUAGGGGGACCGCUGGCGCUAAGUCAGAGGAAGGAGAGGGCAACGGUAGGUCCGUAUGCCCCGAAUCCCCUGGCUACACGCGGGUCGCAAUGCGCAGGACAAUGGGAUGCAACCCCGUAAGGGGAAGCCAAUCCCCUAAACCUGCGCUCGGUUCGGAUCGAGGGCUGUAACUCGCCUUCGUGAAGCUGGAAUCCCUAGUAAUCGCGUGCCAACACCGCGCGGUGAAUACGUCCCUGCUCCUUGCACACACCGCCCGUCAAGCCAUUCGAGUGGGGUCUAGAUGAGGUUCGUUCAAGUUGGGCAGACCGAAUCUAGGUUCUGCAAGAAGGGCUAAGUCGUAACAAGGUAACCGU